rnacentral:rRNA from 1 species
GAUGAACGCUGGCUACAGGCUUAACACAUGCAAGUCGAGGGGAAACGACGGGGAAGCUUGCUUCCCCGGGCGUCGACCGGCGCACGGGUGAGUAACGCGUAUCCAACCUGCCUCUGACUGAGGGAUAACCCGUCGAAAGUCGGCCUAAUACCUCAUGGUAUCGUCUGCGGGCAUCCAACGACGAUUAAAGAUUUCAUCGGUCAGGGAUGGGGAUGCGUCUGAUUAGCUUGUUGGCGGGGUAACGGCCCACCAAGGCUACGAUCAGUAGGGGUUCUGAGAGGGAGGUCCCCCACAUUGGAACUGAGACACGGUCCAAACUCCUACGGGAGGCAGCAGUGAGGAAUAUUGGUCAAUGGGCGAGAGCCUGAACCAGCCAAGUAGCGUGCAGGAAGACGGCCCUAUGGGUUGUAAACUGCUUUUAUGCGGGGAUAAAGUGAGGGACGUGUCCCUCAUUGCAGGUACCGCA